GAAGUAAUUAGCGGUUGCAAGGGGCUGGUGGGAGUAGGCAAUGGGAGUAACUGCUAAUGAUGGGAGUAUUCUCUUUUAUGGUGAUGGGGACAUUCUAAACUUGAUCAUAGUCAGAGCUGCACAACUCCACACUGAAAAUCAUUGAACUGUAUACUUGAAUGGGCAAAGAAUAUGGCACAUGAAUUCUAUGUCCAUAAAACUAUUUUUUUGAAAUGAAACAAACCUGAUUUGGUUAAGCCGUCUGGGUAGUGUCACCGUGAAGCCAUCACCAAGGCCCUCAGUGUCAGGAGAAGCACUGACUUUGUCCCCAUUGGUUGACACAAGGUGAACUUGUGUGCUAUAGCUGGUGGCCUAGACCAGCAGGAUGCAGAUUGGUGAGCUUUCUAUUUCAGAGGAUGUGGGGCUGGGUGAAUGACCAAGGUGCAGGUCACAGUGCCUAGAGGAUAAGAAGAACAGUGAUCAUCCCCACCCUGCACCUCUUGGGGUCCAUGGUGGUCUCAUCCCCUGCAUUGGAGUUGGUGUCCUCUCCAUAGCCAUAAGGGCACCUGUUCCAGGCCAGGUGCCCUUUCUCCUAUCACCCUCACCCCAUCAGGUCUCCAGCCUAGGUGUGGGGUGUAUGGAAGGGGGACAGGGGGUUUCUACCCUUAGGCUGCUGUGAGGUUAACCAGAAGUGUUCCCAGGCAAGUGGUCCUUGUCUUCAUGCUGCAGCUUCAUGAUUGACAGAGGAGUCUAGCGACUGAGCCAGAAAUAAAUUUGAACACUUCAGGUCAUUCAUGGCUGGAUUCUUACUAGGAGGGUAUGCCAGGAGGCUGGCCCCAAGACCAGGGGUGGUCAGAGCAGAAUCUAGACUUUUGGUGGGGAGGUUGAGAUCCUUUAUCAUUCUGAUCUUUAACCAGAGAAGGGCUGGCCAGGAUGAUGGACUGGGCUGAGAGGUAUAAAUUUGCUGAUUUGACAUUGAGGGGCUGCCUCAAGGGGAGGUGAUGCGAGGCACCAGGGGACUGAGCAUCACUUAUUCUUUGACUACUGCCCAUUACAGAUUGGCUUCCAACAAAGGCUGGCCAGUGGCAGACUGGAUAGGGUCCAGAAAGCUGGAAACAUGAGACAGGCAUUAUAGAAUGGGACAAGGACUUUGCAACCCUGAAAACAUGGCAGCAGCUAUGAAGCACUACCACAGACCCCAGGGUGGGCCAAAGAUCUGAUGUGGCCAUCUGCCUGGAGCCAU
rnacentral:lncRNA from 1 species